GGAGAGAUGUCCGAGCGGUUUAAGGAGCUAGUCUUGAAAACUAGUGUUUUCGAAAGAAACCAAGGGUUCGAAUCCCUUUCUCUCCGCCA
rnacentral:tRNA from 1 species